GCGGGGUCCACGGGCGGCGUUGUGGCCGGACGCCUGGCUGCUCUUCAGCGCCCCUCUCUACUUGUUCCGUAGGCAUUAUUGGAAAGGCCGGACUGUGGCUUGGGGCAGCGUGCAUAGCCUCAGGCUCCUUAGGCUUUGUGACCUUGCGCGGGUUGCCUCACCCCCGUGAACUACUCCGCUGACAAACCUGCAAAGUGGGAUGCUGACGUGCAAGCUGGUGCUAAACCGUAAAGCUCGUGCCCCUCCCGCACCGGCCUUCAAUAGACGGCCUCUGUUUCGUUUGCUGGCUCCGGAUAGACUUGAGACCUGGUAGCCAAGCCGCUGGCAUCCCCUGUGAGCCAGCUUCUCGGUCUAAUCUGAGAAUAAGCGAGGCUGGAAUUCCUGGAAGAAGGUUCUCCAGGUUCCCUUUGUCGAAGGACAGAUUUACCCUGACCGCAGCUACUAUAGGAGAAUCUGAAACAUGUGCCAGUGUCUUGGCCCGAAAGUGAAGGGUGGGGGUGGGGGGCUCCCCAAAUGGCCUUCACGUUGGGCUUUUUCUUCCUCCGGCACUGGGGAUGCCAGGACCUGAGCCCACAGCGCUAGCUGUAAGCCAGAGAGCCCCGGAUGUGAUGAGUGCGCAGAUUUUGGUGUUCGUGCUCCUGAAUAGCCUUCUGAGAGCGAGCCGGGGUCCUGAAGACACCCUAACGUCUAAGCCUAGUGCGACUCCGUUAGGUGAGGAGGCUUUCACUGCCCUUAGAGUUUCGGGAAGGGAAGGUGAAGUGUACGUCGAGUCGAGGAAAUCGGGGAGGACGAGCUCUCCCUUCUCUCUUCCUUGCACCGCCCCGUAAGCGUGGUGGAGGGUGGUCCUGCCAGGAGAGCAUCCUCCAGGAAGCGUCCUAGGAAGGAGGGCUCCCGGGCCUCCUAUCGGGUGUCCUGAAGCAGCAUCUGCCUUUUAAGAGCCCCCUGCUCCCCCCUCCCCCCAUUGCUAUGCACCCCGAAGCUUGUGAAACCCUGGUGUAGCUGGUGGGGUGAUCUGGCUCCAGGUGACCUGGUAGCAUUGCCAGUUCCCGGAGAGACAAAGUCCCCAGAGCCAGAGGCUGGGGCGGUGGUGAGAUGGCAACUCUUGCCUGUGUGUGAGCACUGUCGGCCGGCUGAUUCAGAGCGUGCUGAAAACUCGGUCACUGGGCAGCCUGGAUGAGCAGCAUGACCACGGGAGCCUUCGCUUAAAGGAAACCUGAGAUCCCACGCUGGUACCACACCUGCUGAUCCAUCUGUGUUGUUGCAAAUGGCAAGAUUUCAUUCUCUUUUGUAGGAGAUCCACUUUCUUCGUUUCUCAAGGUGCACGUGGCCGGAUGUGGGAGCCCCUCAGUUGGGAAGUUUACGUUGCCUCGGUCCCAGCAGACGGCACUAAGAAUAGCUGUUCUUCUGGUGGAGAGAACAGAUGAUUGGUCAGCUAUACAUCUGGAUCCGUCUCUGGUCCAACCACUGAUCACUGAUGAGGCUCUUCAGCAGUUCGAACGAGAGAGGCCAGGCUGCCAAGGUGUACUGAGCAUGUGUCGCGCCCUCAGGGAUUUAUACAUCUGUAGAAUAUUACCACCGAAGGCAAGUGAAGACAUGAUCUCCAAGCCCAGCUUUUUCAGGUAUCCUGGCAUCGGCAGAGUUCUCUUCCCCUCGUCUUUGGGAAGUUUCGGGAAGUUUCGCAAGCUGGGCCCCUCCUGUGUGUAGCCAACAAUGAUGUUUUGUGUCUUCAUCCCGUUGGAAGGGCCUGGCACACAAACAGCCCAGCCUAUUCAUUCCUAGAGCAAUUUUACAUAUGCAAGACCGAAGCCAAGAUUAAUGUCUUCAUCCUCGACGUGCUCAUUCAGACACGUUCUGAGAGACAGAGCAUGAGUGGAGGAGGAGCAGAGAGACAGAGGGAGACACAGAAUUCGAAGCAGGCUCCA